AUGACUUCUAGAAUCCCACGAUUCAUCUCUCUCUCAAACGCGAACGGCGGCGAAGCUUCAAUCUGUCUUCCUUACACCGCCUCACUUCUUCUUUUCAUUUUAACAUCUUCUGCUCUUUGUCAUUGCAAAGGGAUACGAUGCAUGCCGCUUAUGGUCGUCUCUGCUCAAGCUUCGAUCGCCAACUCCUCUUGUUCUGCAAUGGUGCAGCUUCAUUUUCAUACUUCAAAGAACAAUAAACAAGAAUCACGCGCAAUAAUAUAG